ensembl:lncRNA
ACAUGGAAAGAUUAUAAUAGCCUCUGACAUUGUGCUCCUCUGAUGAAGGAAAUGUCCAUGGUAUAAAUUUUUAUUGUGCAUAAAAUCACCUGGGAAGCUUGUUAAAAAUGCAGAUUCCUAGGCAGCUAGAAGCCUUGUCAUUGGUCCAGAGCAACAUGAAGACCUACUUGUCACUUACACUGAGGCUUCCUGCCCAGUGGGUUCACCAGCAAGCCAGAAGGAAGCAUCACUGCCAUGGAUGUCCUUGUGAGGCAGUUGUGAAGCCUUGACAGGUUAUCAAACCAAGAGAAGUCCAAAACUCAGCCAAGAAUGGCCACCCAGUCUUCAGCUUCCAUUUGACUUUCCAUCUUGUCCACUGAGGAUAGCAGAGUUAAGUCAGGAAAAGAAAAUGGUUGUCCACAGAGGGAGAACUGAUCACUGUCUGAUCUUCAAAGAUGCUUUUCUGGCCGUGGUUGGGGCUCUUAGUGCUCACUGCCUGGACAGAGACCUGUUUCAACAGGGAGAGCUUUAGAAACAACUUGUCAAGUUUUCACCACAAAUACCAUUGGAGUUACAAUUGGAGUCUCACUGAAUUAUAGAGUAAUUUUUGGAGAGCUAUCAUCUUUAUAAUCUUCUCAUACAUGAAUGUGGAGUUGCUGGUAGAAGACUUCAUGAAGGAGAGAAGAAAAGGAAAAAAUCAGAGGAUGACUACAGCCUCCUUCAUCUCAGCUUUUCAAAGCAUUACUCAACAGAGGGAUCACUCUCUUGAAUACUCUCCAGACCACAGGCCAUCAGUCUAUUACAGGCUCUAACUGGGAGGAGCCUUAUUGUGAAUGAAGCUUCGGUGGGUGCUAGGAGUAACACCGUGUUUCUCUGGAUAUGAGAAGAAUGGAGGGCAGAGAGCAAGGGAAGGAAGCUAUGAAAUAUUGGAGUAACAAAUGCUUGACGUUUUAGUGGGUAUUGGACCUAGAAGCCUAUAUGAUUGAAGGAAGCAAACCUGGAGAGGUCUGAUGUUUGUGAGUGAAGAUAGGAGUGAACUCCUUAUUGCAAUUAAAAAUGGAGUGAGGGGGAGGAAAAAAAUGACAGAAAUCAUAAGAUCCAUUACUUCAGUGAAGGAAGCACUGAGACUUGCUUCAUAAACCUGUAAUUUUUAAAGGUAGAUUGAAGAUAAGUUGUUGUGCUGCACUAUUUCUAUUCCUACCCGUGAGAGUUACUGCCAGCCACUCUUCUCAGGUAGAUCUGCCUUUAUGGAAAUUUCUGUUGACCCACGUAAAGAAACAACCCAGAAAAACAUUUGCAACAUUGAAGAACUCUGGUUCAGUGACAGGGUGUUAAAGGAGUCGAGGAUAGAGGAAAUAGCUCAAGUAGUACCAAAUAGCUCAGGUUGUUUUUUUUUUUUUCUUUUUAAUAGGAUGAUUGGGCCAGAGACAGUGGGCAGAAUGACUUCAGGCAACCCCAAACACCAGAUAUGGCAUAAGGAAACAGUUCAAGGAAAAGGUCAAUCCUUGGACCUAGUAUUUGUGAUGCAAUAUCUUAAAUUAAAAGGAAGAGCUGCUUUGGAGAAGGGGUUUUAAAAGAUUGUAUUUCAUAGAAAGAAGAAAGAUUUGAGGAGAAACUUCCAAUUAUAUAAGAUGGGCAUUAUAACUUUUAAAGACAUCUGUUGCCUGCAUGGGUCAUAGAGAUUGAUACCAGUAUCAGCCUGUGGCUGACUAGGCCAGUUUAAGUGGUUUCCUGUUCGAAGAGAGAUGCUGCCAUUCUCUCACUUUGGCAGGUAUUCACCUGCAAUGAGUCCAGUACCUGGAGGAGCAAGAAAAAAACAAGCAUCCAGGGGGACAAUAGUAUAGCCUUCUGAGUUAAGAUAGCAACUGAAAAGAUCAUGGGAUUGGCUGCACUGGGCUGGGCUUGUUUGUUUUUUCAAAAUAAAAAAGUUUUCUUUUUGAUGA